CUUUCGAAUGCGAAGAUUUAAGGCCACCAGAGGCACAGACAUUAUGGACAUGUCACUGGAAGAUAUUUCCAAUAUCGAAUUUGUACAUGAAGAAGGAGUCUGUAUUCCACAAGAAAAAGGUAUUACUGACUCGGAUUAUAAAAAGACGAGCAGUAGAAUAUUGAGAAAAUGGGACGAGUAAACGCAAAUCCUUUAAUGCGAUAGCCUACGAGUGGUAGCAGACACGGCCUGUACCAUGGAAUAUGCUGUUUUUUCUCCUGGCGCAGCUUAUAUUCGACUGGAGUGUAGUUCUAUAGUGAAACGAAUUCGUUGAAACUGAAUACAUUUUCCAGCUCACGAAUAUUAACGCUAAUUUUAUGUUCUAGGAUAUCAAUAUAAUUAUAAAUACUGUAUUUAUGUCCUCGAAACAGUGUCUCUGAGAGUAAAACAACGCUCUGUUUCCCAACUAUCCUCUAUGGAUGGGCCUUAUUGUCCCGAACUUAAAUCCAUCGGGUCUUUAUUUCUGGUGUCAUUUGAAAUGCAUUGUCUACAGCAAGUCCAUUAACAAUAUUGAGAUACUACGCCAGAGAAUUAAACAAGGUUUCCAGGAAAUCCGAGUAACACCUGGAUCCGUCGGGGGGUUAAGAAGAUUAAGAAGGCGGCAUCUAAAGAUUUACAUUCAGAUGCAAGGUGGUCGUUUUGAGAACCUCUUGUGAAGGUCAGAUUUUGCUUAUUCACCAGUAAAUCAUUUGAGCAACUUUUUCGUUAUCGAUCUUUAUUGAAUGCGUGUACUGUGCUGUGAAUGAAAGUUUGUAUCGUGACGCUUUGUAUUAUAUCGUAACAGGCCUUUAUUCGUGAAUAGUUCACUGCAGGCAUUUAAAAAAAGAAAAUCCAUGUUGCAUAGGAAAUCCGUGGAAAAAUAACUCGGACCAGAUUUUCGUUAAAUAGUAUGUCUGGUCGAGCAUGAAGGGGAUACGCGGGAAAAGGUAACCCUUUUAUCAGAGAAGUGCGCGUAUCUCGGUGAGUAGCGUGGUAAACGGUAAAAACGACAACUUGGAACUCGUCACCUCGGAAACCAGCUUUCAGCAUCUUAUGCAUCAGAGCCUCACAGGUUGGAGCAUACUUCACCGAGCGUGUUAUGCAGUCAAUGAUACAGUUAAGAGUUUCGCUGUAAACCGCGGUGAAACCUCAAAGAACAUUGUUUUUCCCCAAACAUGGUGGUGUUUUAACAUGUGCUCUGAUUCGAUGUAUUGUUUGCUUCUAUGUGAAGUUCAACCUGUACACAGUUCAUACAGUAAUAAUAAUAUAAAUUGUCUAAUACUAAUCUGUAUCGAAGAGGAUACUAUGGGCACGUAGGAGUUAACUGCGAGGUUCACGUCGCGGGUUUACGACACGUCAAUUGCUAUUGAAGACGAGGCAGUGGGAUGAUGUGCACUUGAUCGUCAGGAUCUCACAAGUUUCAUGGCAAUAAAGCAACUUCCAGGACAUUAAUCCUUCAUAAAAUUACGCGACCGGAAUAUCGACUACUAUUGACAGCUGCUACUCGGAAACAACACGUACCUUGAGAUAAUUCGGGUUUGAUAAAACCAAGCUCAAGUGCAUUAGCGCCGCAAAGUGUAUCGUGUAUUGACGUACACAUAAAACGAGAUGUUUAUGUUCAGAUGUAUUUUACACAAAGAAACAUCGCAUGUCAGUUUUGCGAGUGCACUUUACUCCUCUAUAUGCAUCAACUAGCCGAGAAAGUAGGGAUAAGUGUGCGACGAAGAAGCGAUGCUUCCUUUCUAAAGAUAAAUAUCUGCCUCAUCACCUCUAAAAAUAGCGAAUCAAUACGUCUAGCCAAUCAACAACCUUUGUCUUCCGCACACUCUAAAGACAUGGGUGCAUAAACAUGGAAAAACUUUUAUCCCCUACGUACUCGAUCUUUUUUCUUCAGUUUUAUUGAAAGUGGCAUGUAACAUUCCUUUAUUACUUUAUAAAGAAUGUAUCUGUGUAUAUA